ACAUGGAUUAUUUUCAAGGCAGAUACAACUCUGAAUAUAUACUGACUUUUUCAGUGAAGGAAGUAUAUCUGUAUUAGAAGUCUGCCAUUGUAGGAGGUCUUGAGGAAUCUGGCUACCAUUGCCCUUACCAUUGUGGCCAAUUAUCUACUGAAUGCACAAGGAAGGCAUAAAGGCAACUGGAGGUUUUGCAGAAGUACAAAGGAAAUUUAAAGAAGAAAAACUAGUGGAGAAAAUGAUCAAGUCAGACUCAUUUUCUUCAAAUUAACAGGAAAUUACAAAGGACAAAUUCCAGACAAAGAUUAUAAUUUAAAUGAAUGUCCAUUUCAAAGCCAAGAUGAUAAAAUGAUGGAAUCCAGAGAUCCAUCACUUU